AUCCCUGUAGCACAAUGGAUAGCGCGUUGGACUUCUUCUUCAAAGUCGUGGGUUCGAAGCCCACUUGGGAUG